ACUAAGUUGGCAGAUAAAGUGCGGGUAAUUUAGGAUUACCACAUAAGAUAAAACUUAUUUAGUA
rnacentral:tRNA from 1 species